rnacentral:rRNA from 1 species
GAGUUUGAUCAUGGCUCAGGAUGAACGCUGGCGGCGUGCUUAACACAUGCAAGUCGAACGAACCUUCGGGUUAGUGGCGGACGGGUGAGUAACGCGUGAGAAUCUGCCCUCAGGAGGGGGAUAACAGCUGGAAACGGCUGCUAAUACCCCAUAUGCCGCGAGGUGAAAUGAAUUUCGCCUGAGGAUGAGCUCGCGUCUGAUUAGCUAGUUGGUGUAGGUAAUGGCUCACCAAGGCUUCGAUCAGUAGCUGGUCUGAGAGGAUGAUCAGCCACACUGGGACUGAGACACGGCCCAGACUCCUACGGGAGGCAGCAGUGGGGAAUUUUCCGCAAUGGGCGAAAGCCUGACGGAGCAACGCCGCGUGAGGGAUGAAGGCCUCUGGGCUGUAAACCUCUUUUAUCAAGGAAGAAGAUCUGACGGUACUUGAUGAAUAAGCCACGGCUAAUUCCGUGCCAGCAGCCGCGGUAAUACGGGAGUGGCAAGCGUUAUCCGGAAUUAUUGGGCGUAAAGCGUCCGCAGGCGGCCCUUCAAGUCUGCUGUUAAAAAGUGGAGCUUAACUCCAUCAUGGCAGUGGAAACUGUUGGGCUUGAGUGUGGUAGGGGCAGAGGGAAUUCCCGGUGUAGCGGUGAAAUGCGUAGAUAUCGGGAAGAACACCAGUGGCGAAGGCGCUCUGCUGGGCCAUCACUGACGCUCAUGGACGAAAGCCAGGGGAGCGAAAGGGAUUAGAUACCCCUGUAGUCCUGGCCGUAAACGAUGAACACUAGGUGUCGGGGGAAUCGACCCCCUCGGUGUCGUAGCCAACGCGUUAAGUGUUCCGCCUGGGGAGUACGCACGCAAGUGUGAAACUCAAAGGAAUUGACGGGGGCCCGCACAAGCGGUGGAGUAUGUGGUUUAAUUCGAUGCAACGCGAAGAACCUUACCAGGGUUUGACAUCCUGCGAAUCUCUUGGAAACGAGAGAGUGCCUUCGGGAACGCAGUGACAGGUGGUGCAUGGCUGUCGUCAGCUCGCGUCGUGAGAUGUUGGGUUAAGUCCCGCAACGAGCGCAACCCACGUCUUUAGUUGCCAGCAUUUAGUUGGGCACUCUAGAGAGACUGCCGGUGAUAAACCGGAGGAAGGUGUGGAUGACGUCAAGUCAUCAUGCCCCUUACAUCCUGGGCUACACACGUACUACAAUGCUACGGACAAAGGGCUGCAAGUUCGCGAGGACAAGCAAAUCCCAUAAACCGUGGCUCAGUUCAGAUCGUAGGCUGCAACUCGCCUACGUGAAGGCGGAAUCGCUAGUAAUCGCAGGUCAGCAUACUGCGGUGAAUACGU